AACGAACGCUGGCGGCAGGCCUAACACAUGCAAGUCGAACGCCCGUAGCAAUACGGGAGUGGCAGACGGGUGAGUAACGCGUGGGAACGUGCCCUUCGGUUCGGAAUAACUCAGGGAAACUUGAGCUAAUACCGGAUACGUCCGUAAGGAGAAAGAUUUAUCGCCGAAGGAUCGGCCCGCGUCGGAUUAGCUAGUUGGUGAGGUAACGGCCCACCAAGGCGACGAUCCGUAGCUGGUCUGAGAGGANGAUCAGCCACACUGGGACUGAGACACGGCCCAGACUCCUACGGGAGGCAGCAGUGGGGAAUAUUGGACAAUGGGCGAAAGCCUGAUCCAGCCAUGCCGCGUGAGUGAAGAAGGCCUUUAGGGUUGUAAAGCUCUUUCAGCGGGAAGAUAAUGACGGUACCCGCAGAAUAAGCUCCGGCUAACUUCGUGCCAGCAGCCGCAGUAAC
rnacentral:rRNA from 1 species